rnacentral:snoRNA from 1 species
GGCGAUGACGAGCUCCGGAGUGGCUGAAUCGGGCAUGCCAUGAUGAAGGGCAUACUGGCCGAGC